rnacentral:rRNA from 1 species
AGAGUUUGAUCAUGGCUCAGAACGAACGCUGGCGGCACGCUUAACACAUGCAAGUCGAACGGGAUUGGGGGGCUUGCUCCCCGAUUUAGUGGCGCACGGGUGAGUAACGCGUGGACAACCUGCCCUGGAAUCCGGAAUAACAUUUCGAAAGGGGUGCUAAUACCGGAUAAGCUCACGGCCCUGCGGGGUUGCGGGAAAAGGCGGCCUCUGACUCAAGCUGCCGUUUCAGGAUGGGUCCGCGUCCUAUCAGCUAGUUGGCAGGGUAAUGGCCUACCAAGGCGACGACGGGUAGCUGGUCUGAGAGGAUGGUCAGCCACACUGGAACUGAGACACGGUCCAGACUCCUACGGGAGGCAGCAGUGGGGAAUUUUGCGCAAUGGGCGAAAGCCUGACGCAGCGAUGCCGCGUGAGUGAUGAAGGCCUUCGGGUCGUAAAGCUCUGUCGCAGGGAAAGAAAUGUACGGGUGCCAAUACCACCUGUACUUGACGGUACCCUGAAAGGAAGCACCGGCUAACUCCGUGCCAGCAGCCGCGGUAAUACGGAGGGUGCGAGCGUUGUUCGGAAUUAUUGGGCGUAAAGGGCGUGCAGGCGGUUUGUUAAGUCUGAUGUGAAAGCCCCGGGCCUAACUCGGGAAGUGCAUUGGAUACUGGCAGACUUGAAUACGGGAGAGGAGAGUGGAAUUCCUGGUGUAGGGGUGAAAUCCGUAGAUAUCAGGAAGAACACCGGUGGCGAAGGCGGCUCUCUGGAACGAUAUUGACGCUGAGACGCGAAAGCGUGGGUAGCAAACAGGAUUAGAUACCCCCGUAGUCC